rnacentral:sRNA from 1 species
AAUACCCGCUGAACUUAAGCAUAUCAAUAAGCGGAGGAAAAGAAACCAACAGGGAUUGCCUCAGUAACGGCGAGUGAAGCGGCAACAGCUCAAAUUUGAAAUCUGGCCGCAAGGUCCGAGUUGUAAUUUGUAGAGGAUGCUUUUGGCGAGGUGCCUUCCGAGUUCCCUGGAACGGGACGCCAUAGAGGGUGAGAGCCCCGUACGGUAGGACCACCAAGCCUCUGUAAAGCUCCUUCGACGAGUCGAGUAGUUUGGGAAUGCUGCUCUAAAUGGGAGGUGUACGUCUUCUAAAGCUAAAUACCGGCCAGAGACCGAUAGCGCACAAGUAGAGUGAUCGAAAGAUGAAAAGCACUUUGAAAAGAGGGUUAAAAAGUACGUGAAAUUGUUGAAAGGGAAGCAUUCAUGACCAGACUUGGGCUUGGUUGAACAUCCGGCGUUCUCGCCGGUGCACUCUGCCAGUCCAGGCCAGCAUCAGUUUGCCCCGGGGGAUAAAGGCGGCGGGAAUGUGGCUCCCUUCGGGGAGUGUUAUAGCCCGUCGUGUAAUGCCCUGGGGCGGACUGAGGAACGCGCUCGGCACGGA